rnacentral:tRNA from 1 species
CGGGAUGUAGCGCAGCUUGGUAGCGCACUACAAUGGGGUUGUAGGGGUCGCUGGUUCGAAUCCAGUCAUCCCGA